AUUGAACGUUGGCGGCAGGCCUAACACAUGCAAGUCGAACGAGAAAGCACCUUCGGGUGCGAGUACAGUGGCGGACGGGUGAGUAACGCGCAGGAAUCUACCUAGUAGUGGGGGACAACUCGGGGAAACUCGAGCUAAUACCGCAUACGAUCCUUUUUCUUAGGAAGGGGGAUGAAAGUGGGGGAUCUUCGGACCUCACGCUAUUAGAGGAGCCUGCGUUGGAUUAGCUUGUUGGUAGGGUAACGGCCUACCAAGGCUACGAUCCAUAGCUGGUCUGAGAGGACGAUCAGCCACACUGGAACUGAGACACGGUCCAGACUCCUACGGGAGGCAGCAGUGGGGAAUCUUGGGCAAUGGGCGCAAGCCUGACCCAGCCAUGCCGCGUGUGUGAAGAAGGCCUUCGGGUUGUAAAGCACUUUCAGCAGUGAAGAAAUAUCGGGAGUUAAUAACUCCACGGUCUUGAC
rnacentral:rRNA from 1 species